rnacentral:piRNA from 1 species
UUCUUCAGCCUGCAACAAUGUGUCAAC